CCCUUAGACACUCUAGGCGGCACGCGCGCUACAAUGGGUGGAAGAACGUGUUACUGCCUCCGAAAGGAGGGGUGAAUCACGAAUUCUUGCCCGUGAAUGGGAUAGUUUGUUGCAAUUUUCGGACUUGAACUAGGAAUCCCUUGUAAACAUGCUCAAGAAUAGCGUGUUGAAUACGUCCCUGCCGUUUGUACACACCGCCCGUCGCUUCUUCCGACUGAUACUCAUUGUGAGUUGCAAGGACCCUUUAUUGGGAAAUUGCUGCAAAUGCUUUGUAUUGGAGGAAGAAAAAGUCGUAACA
rnacentral:rRNA from 1 species